rnacentral:rRNA from 1 species
CCUUGGGGGGUAGCCGUAGCGAGAGCGAGUCUGAAAGGGCGAGUUAAGUGGCACGGUCUAGACCCGAAGCGGGGUGAUCUACCCAUGGCCAGGUUGAAGCACGUGUAAGAGCGUGUGGAGGACCGAACCCACCUAGGUUGAAAACUGGGGGGAUGAGCUGUGGGUAGGGGUGAAAGGCCAAUCAAACUCCGUGAUAGCUGGUUCUCCCCGAAAUGCAUUUAGGUGCAGCGUCUCGUGGUCCCCGGCGGAGGUAGAGCUACUGGGUGGCUGAUGGGCCCCACAGGGUUACUGACGUCAACCAAACUCCGAAUGCCGUUCGGGUUAUAGCGGGGCAGUGAGACAGCGGGGGAUAAGCUCCGUUGUCGAGAGGGAAACAGCCCAGAUCGCCGGCUAAGGCCCCUAAGCGUGUGCUAAGUGGGAAAGGAUGUGCGGUCGCGCAGACAACCAGGAGGUUGGCUUAGAAGCAGCCAUCCUUGAAAGAGUGCGUAAUAGCUCACUGGUCAAGUGAUCGUGCGCCGACAAUGUAGCGGGGCUCAAGCACACCGCCGAAGCCGCGGACCCAUCACGUGUUCCCUACCGGGUUUGUCCUGGUCAGGGGUGGUGGGUGGUAGGGGAGCGUCCUGCACCGGGUGAAGCCGCAGAGUGAUCUAGUGGUGGACGGUGCGGGAGUGAGAAUGCAGGCAUGAGUAGCGAUACUAGGGUGAGAAGCCCUAGCGCCGAAUGACCAAGGGUUCCAGGGCCAGGCUAGUCCGCCCUGGGUGAGUCGGGACCUAAGGCGAGGCCGACAGGCGUAGUCGAUGGAUGACGGGUUGAUAUUCCCGUACCGGCGAAGCACCGCCCAUGCUGACGCGCGGGUGCUAACCCACGCCCGGCACCACAAUCGCGCCUUCUGGUGGCUUCGGCUGCCUGUUGGUGUGGUGGUGUGGGGUCUGGGGACCCUCCGUGCAGGUAGGCAAGCGUGUUAACAGGGGUGACGCACAGUGGUAGCCUCCGCGGGCCUAAUGGCUUGGCCCGUUCAAGCGAGCAGCCCGACAGCCAGGCAAAUCCGGUUGUCUUCCUUUGAUGGUAAGGGUCAGACGUGAUGGUGACCUGCCCUUCUCGGGUGGGGAAGUAGGGUGAUCCUGGGGUGCCGAGAAAAGCCUCGACGCGAUGGUGCCAGCCGCCCGUACCCUAAACCGACACAGGUGGUCGGGCAGAGUAUGCCUAGGCGCACGAGUGAAUCAUGGUGAAGGAACUCGGCAAAAUGCCCCCGUAACUUCGGGAGAAGGGGGGCCCGAGCCUUGAAGCCCCUUUUUGCGGGCUAGGGGUGAGGGUCGCAGAGACCAGGGAGAAGCGACUGUUUACUAAAAACACAGGUCCGUGCGAAGCCGCAAGGCGAUGUAUACGGACUGACGCCUGCCCGGUGCUGGAAGGUUAAGAGGAACCGUCAACCCCCGUCGUGGGGUGAAGCGGUGAAUUUAAGCCCCAGUAAACGGCGGUGGUAACUAUAACCAUCCUAAGGUAGCGAAAUUCCUUGUCGGGUAAGUUCCGACCUGCACGAAUGGCGUAACGACUUCUCCACUGUCUCCACCAUGAGCUCGGCGAAAUUGCACUACGAGUAAAGAUGCUCGUUACGCGCAGAAGGACGGAAAGACCCCGGGACCUUUACUACAGCUUGGUAUUGGCGCCCGCUAUGGCUUGUGCAGGAUAGGUGGGAGACUGUGAAGCAGCCACGCCAGUGGUUGUGGAGUCGUCGUUGAAAUACCACUCUGGCUAUGGCGUGCGCCUGAACCUCGGCCCGUGAUCCGGGUCAGGGACAGUGCCUGGUGGGUAGUUUAACUGGGGCGGUUGCCUCCUAAAAUGUAACGGAGGCGCUCAAAGGUUCCCUCAGCCUGGUCGGCAACCAGGUGUUGAGUGUAAGUGCACAAGGGAGCUUGACUGCGAGACCGACGGGUCAAGCAGGUACGAAAGUAGGAACUAGUGAUCCGGCGAUCCCGAGUGGGUGGGUCGUCGCUCAACGGAUAAAAGGUACCCCGGGGAUAACAGGCUGAUCCUGCCCAAGAGUCCAUAUCGACGGCAUGGUUUGGCACCUCGAUGUCGGCUCGUCGCAUCCUGGGGCUGGAGCAGGUCCCAAGGGUUGGGCUGUUCGCCCAUUAAAGCGGUACGCGAGCUGGGUUUAGAACGUCGUGAGACAGUUCGGUCCCUAUCCUCUGCGCGCGCAGGAUACUUGAGAAGGCCUGUCCCUAGUACGAGAGGACCGGGACGGACGAACCUCUGGUGUGCCAGUUGUCCCGCCCGGGGCACGGCUGGUUGGCUACGUUCGGAACGGGUAACCGCUGAAAGCAUCUAAGCGGGAAACCAUCUUCAAGAUGAGGUAUCCACACCACCCCUCGGGGUGGUGGAAGGCCCCCAGCAGACCACUGGGUAGAUAGGCCGGACGUGGAAGACCCGCAAGGGUUGGAGCUGACCGGUACUAAUUGGCCAACACAAACAACAA